rnacentral:rRNA from 1 species
GGGCCCGCACAAGCGGCGGAGCAUGCGGAUUAAUUCGAUGCAACGCGAAGAACCUUACCAAGGCUUGACAUAUAGAGGAAAAGUGCAGAAAUGCACUCCCCGCAAGGUCUCUAUACAGGUGGUGCAUGGUUGUCGUCAGCUCGUGUCGUGAGAUGUUGGGUUAAGUCCCGCAACGAGCGCAACCCUCGUCCUAUGUUGCCAGCACGUAAUGGUGGGAACUCAUGGGAUACUGCCGGGGUCAACUCGGAGGAAGGUGGGGAUGACGUCAAAUCAUCAUGCCCCUUAUGUCUUGGGCUUCACGCAUGCUACAAUGGCCGGUACAGAGGGCUGCAAUACCGCAAGGUGGAGCGAAUCCCAAAAAGCCGGUCUCAGUUCGGAUUGAGGUCUGCAACUCGACCUCAUGAAGUCGGAAUCGCUAGUAAUCGC